rnacentral:rRNA from 1 species
CGAUGUCGACUUGGAGGUUGUGCCCUUGAGGCGUGGCUUCCGGAGCUAACGCGUUAAGUCGACCGCCUGGGGAGUACGGCCGCAAGGUUAAAACUCAAAUGAAUUGACGGGGGCCCGCACAAGCGGUGGAGCAUGUGGUUUAAUUCGAUGCAACGCGAAGAACCUUACCUACUCUUGACAUCCAGAGAAUUCGCUAGAGAUAGCUUAGUGCCUUCGGGAACUCUGAGACAGGUGCUGCAUGGCUGUCGUCAGCUCGUGUUGUGAAAUGUUGGGUUAAGUCCCGCAACGAGCGCAACCCUUAUCCUUUGUUGCCAGCGAGUAAUGUCGGGAACUCAAAGGAGACUGCCGGUGAUAAACCGGAGGAAGGUGGGGAUGACGUCAAGUCAUCAUGGCCCUUACGAGUAGGGCUACACACGUGCUACAAUGGCGCAUACAAAGAGAAGCGAACUCGCGAGAGCAAGCGGACCUCAUAAAGUGCGUCGUAGUCCGGAUUGGAGUCUGCAACUCGACUCCAUGAAGUCGGAAUCGCUAGUAAUCGUAGAUCAGAAUGCUACGGUGAAUACGUUCCCGGGCCUUGUACACACCGCCCGUCACACCAUGGGAGUGGGUUGCAAAAGAAGUAGGUAGCUUAACCUUCGGGAGGGCGCUUACCACUUUGUGAUUCAUGACUGGGGUGAAGUCGUAACAAGGUAACCAAU